UUCAUUUUUGAAGCCUCAGCACAUUUGUACAAAAGAGCGAUGUUAGAGACGAACGUCAAAAAGACUGAAGAAUGCCUGAACACACAACAUGCUGCUCACUCUUCUGCUUUAUUAUCUUCAUUAUCGACUGCCUGUUGGUGAAAUCUGUAAAAGGAGAGGACUCCUCAAGUGAUGAGCCAGGUAAGAAACGAUACUCAAACACAAGCUAAAUCCCAUCCAGAACCGACAACCAUCCUAACCAGAUCGUGUUUUCCUCCCCUGAGCUUCAGAAAUCAAAUAUGCCAUCAUAGGAGCGGGGAUUGGCCUUUUCUUUUCCCUCUGCUUUCUGUUAAUAAAAAUGUACAUAAUCAGAAAACAAGUUCAAGAUACUGAAAUAUCAGAAACAUCAUUAAGGAGGAUACAUGCACGGCCCACAGAUGCGGAGAACAGAAGAGCUGGAGAUGUCUGAGGAUCAUAUUAAGCUAUUUUGUAACAGAUUUUAUACAGAUUUAUUUAUUACACUGUGCACUGUAAAACUAAACUCCAACCCAGGUUCAUUCUCAAAAUGUACCCCUAUACACAUUUUUUGGGAUUCCAAAUACGACCCAGGAGCUAUGUUUUUAUAAAC